UACAGAGGGUGCGAGCGUUGUCCGGAAUCACUGGGCGUAAAGAGCUCGUAGGCGGUCUGUCGCGUCGGCUGUGAAAUCCCGAGGCUUAACCCCGGGUCUGCAGUCGAUACGGGCAGGCUAGAGUUCGGUAGGGGAGAUCGGAAUUCCUGGUGUAGCGGUGAAAUGCGCAGAUAUCAGGAAGAACACCCGUGGCGAAGGCGGCUCUCUGGGACGGUACUGACGCUGAGACGCGAAAGCGUGGGGAGCGAACAGG
rnacentral:rRNA from 1 species